AAAGGCGUGCGCCACCACCGCCUGGCUGGGAUCUUUUAAAACUGUAUGUCGGUACUUUUCUCUAUACAGAGUGCUUUAUUGGCUGGAUAUAUCAUAAUUUAUUUAAUCCGUCUGUAUUAAUAGGUGUGUCAGCUGUUCUUUUUCUUUGAAAAAUGUUGUAGUGGAUGCCUGUUAACAUUAUGUUAUAUGAAAAUUAUGUUUCUGGACUCUUCUCCCCUGCUUGCACUUACUUGCCAGCACAUCUGUUGGAACCUACUUCUACAGAAGACCAGCUGAGACAUCUAGCCCUGUGGGACUGAGCAACUACUAGAUCCUUGGACUUCCCAUUCACAGCUGACCAUUGUUGGGGUUGUUGGACUACAGACUGAACUGCAUGGCUCUAACUUUGAACCUGCUAGUAGUGCUAGUAGAAGUCUCAGGAAGAAAAAGGGACACUUUGAAAAGAGAUUAUGGCUGUGAGUGCUGUGGAGUGUAUGAGCAGGUCCAGAAGGGCUCCCCGAAGCUGAAAGGCCUGGUGGAGCUUGGCAUGAUGAAGCAGAAGAAGAAGAACAAAGGCAAGGCCAAGAUGCUGGAGGCCAUGAGGAUGAGCAAGAAGAGUGAGGAGGAGGAGAGGCGCUGUCUGGACAAGCCCAUGCCGGCACGGGAGGCCUUCAAAAAGAUUCAGAAGUGGCAAACCGAAAGAAUCCUGAAGAAGGUGUCAAAAACCCACAAGCAGAGAGUGGAGGACUUCAACUGACACCUGGACACACUCACCGAGCACUAUGACAUUCCCAAAGUCAGCUGGACCAAGUAACCGGCCCCUGGAGCCAAAGGCAGCAGGCCAGGCAGACUGUGCUCUUCCUCCGUAGUUCCUGGUAUCUUUUCCACUGGCUGGGGCAUCUGCUGAGACCAGGCUUCCUGAGACUUGAUCAAAAGUGGGCUGUCCUUUCACUGGGUUUUGGUUUUGGGGUAGAUCCCUUUCCUGUUUGGACAGCAACAUUGGAGCUUGACAUGCUGAGGUAAUUUCUGGGUGAAGGUCAUGGAAGGAUGGUCGCCUUUCCACUCCCAUUGGGGCAUCUGUCUUCACUUACACCACAAUCCCUGUGGACCACCACAGAAGUUCCCACAGUGCUGCUCCAUUUUGGGCCACCUUGACAUCAGAUUGCAUCUGAAACACCAUAUGAAGCAAGGGCAGGACACAGGACACAGGUCUCCAGCACAUAACCUGUCCCACAGUUCACCCAAUGGAUUGCAAUGGUAGAUGUUGCUAAUCUCAGUUCUCAAUGAUGGCACCUGGGUUUCUAAGCAUGUGGCAUGUGGUAUGAGCCUGGUUGGCAUUCCUGGUCUAAGGACACCAAAUGCUAGAUAUGGCCAGGGCAAACUGCCAGCAGACAUGCUGUAGUGGUGUAGGUGCUGUGGAGCUGUGGCAUCUGAGGGUCUAGGUAGAUCACUUGAAGAAUUUCUGCACACACUGUUAAGAGAUGCAGCUUCUGUUGCUAUGGAUAUUAAAAGAAAUGACAAAUCAGUAGAGCUGACAUGUAGUGAAUACCAAUCAUGGAGUGUGAAUGUUGUCUAUAUAGGCUGUCCAUUACAGGGAUAUCUUUUGAUUCUGCUCAUGUCCCUGAACAAUGAAGAAUGCACAGUGCAAAACUAGUUUAGUGUGGGGAAAAUUGGAUGCUUUUGUAUUUUAAAGGUACAUAUGUGUAUACAUAUGGGUAUAUUAUAUAAUGUGCAUUGUAUGAGUGCAUGUGUACAUAUACACAUGUGUAGAGGGCAACUUGAAGGAUUGACUCCUUCCACCAUAUGAAUCCUGGGGAUCGGAUCUAACUUAGGUUGGAAACUAACUUGACUGCAAGUGACUUUACUCACUCAGCUGUGUCACAGUCCAGAUGACACAUUUAUUCAGGUGUUCACACCUGAGGGAGGUGGUGUGUACAUACCUUGUCUCAAAUGUUUAGGAACAUUUUGGAUUUGGGGAUUUUUCCAGAUUUGGGGAACACAAUGAUUUUUGUAAUAUGUAAUGAGAUGUUGCAGUGGCUGUCACAAGUUUGCAUACAUUUGAUUUGUUUGAUUUGCCCUGUGUACAUAGCUUGUGCACAUUUUAUAUUAACAUGUUGUCUUUAAACAUAGUAUAUAAAAUAUACAAGUUUU